CCCAGGUGGAGAUGCUGGG
rnacentral:siRNA from 1 species